rnacentral:misc_RNA from 1 species
GUAUUAAUUUUUUUUUUUGACAAGACAUUCCAAAAUAUAAUAAAGUGUGUGUUGAAAAACAUUUGGAACAAGGCGUGCACAUGUCUCCCUUUUGUGAGGGAUGACCAGCAACAAACCCAUUCAAAAAAUUCAAUAAUGAUCCUUCCGCAGGUUCACCUACGGAAA